AGAAUAUAAUCUGUUGCACCCAUCCAAAGAAGUUACCAAGAGUUGGCAAAGAUGGCACAAGAAAUGUCUUCGUAACCUCCAAAAUGUAUAUGAUCAUAUGAAAACUUCUAAUUGACAGUAGGCAAGGUUCAUUGCAAAUUCACCAACUAAUUCAGUUUUUGCAAGUAAAGUUAAUACCCUAUUUCCAAUGGAUAAAUCUUGGAUAGACAUGCCAAGAAACACACCUCAAUAUAUGGAUGGUUUAAACAAAUUUUUGGACUUUGCAUUUGCUAAUAGUGGUGUAAGGGGGAAAAUAGUAUGUCCAUGUCAAAAAUGCAACUUUAACAAAUGGCAGGAUCGUGAAUUAGUGUAUGAGCACUUGAUUCUUAAACCUUUUCCAAAAGGAUAUACAAUGUGGCUUCUACAUG